rnacentral:rRNA from 1 species
CAGUAGGGAGGAAGGUAGUGUAGUUAACACCUGCAUUUAUUGUACGUUACCUACAGAAGAAGACACCGGACUAACUCCGUCGCCAGCAGCCGACGGUAAGUACGGGAGGGUGCGAGCGUUAAGUACGGUAAUUACGUGGGACGUAAAGCGCAUGCAGGCGGCCGUGUUAAGUCAGAUGUAGAAAGGCCCGGGGACCUUUAACCGUACGGUAAGUUGCUAUUUAGUAAACGUGGCGAGGCUAGAGUCUUGUAGGAGGGGGGUAGGAAUUUCAGGUGUAGCGGUGAAAUGCGUAGAGAUCUGAAGGAAUACCAGUGGCGAAGGCGGCCCCCUGGACAAAGACUGACGCUCAGAUGCGAAAGCGUGGGGAGCAAACAGGAUUAGAUACCCUGGUAG